CCAUAUCCAACCUUUCCCGACUUCCCAAGUUUCAUGUGCCUGCCAUGUACUUGGAAGAUUCCUCGUUUAUAUGAGACGCAUGACGUGCGUUUUAUGUGUAUAUGUGUUCAUUACAUGUCAGUGUCAGUGUUUGAAUUUGCGCUGAAUCUUGCGGGAAUCUCGCUCACGGGCGUAGCAAAAGGUGACGACUAAGCGUGUACUCUUAAUCUCAGGGAUAAUUAUCAAUCCUGAGAGAAAGAGAGUGGGAGAGAGAGAGAGAGAGAGAGAGAGGGAGAGAGGGAGAGAGGGAUGUAGCAGACUCAGCCCCUUAUUAUCCCCGAGAGCGUCUAAAGACGUUGUGGUACGUUGAAAGGGAGAAAAAGGCAAACAGACGCUUAUGAGCACUUCUUCUGCAUUGUGUAGCUCAGCCAGAGGAAUUUAAGGAGGUUUAAUUGCCUAAAACGAUCCUCUCGUCCCAGUGCAAGCGCUCGUUUUGAUACAUCGAAAUGUAACAGCAGAUGACUGGAGAUGGACUGCUACUGGACUGAGGCCAUGCUGGAUAAGCCUUAAAGCAGUAGGCAGGGAUGCACAACAGGGGUAUAUGUAACACUUUUCUAAAGUAAGAAAAAAAGCGCAGUGAGCUUUCGAGGAGAUCUUUUUGGAAGGCAGAAAAUAAAUAGAUUAUUGAUACAGUAAGGGAAAUUAUUGAAAGAACUGUUAGAAACAGUUAGCUUGUAUAUUUGAAAGAAGUACUAAAAAAACAGAGGAUCUGACCAAGGAUCAUCUGCACACAGCAGAUGUAGUUGGAGUGAAACUUUUUGAGAAAAAGUUUUGAGUGAUUUUUUGACGAGCGGACGGACCAAUUCACUGCACCUGCUGGCCAAUGCAUAGAAGAGAAAUGAUCAUGAUUUCAGAGCUUCAGACUGUCAUCCAAAGAACCUUCUGAUAUUUAAUCCGAAAAUCUUAACAGGAAAAGGACAUCCGAAAAUCUUCGGAAAGAGCCAAGUGACAAAAAAAUGGAUCCAAUUAAAACACACUUUCACACUUUAUUUCAGCAGUCUGAGGAAAUAAAGUACAGAUACACAGUGUGGAGCUCACCCUUCUCCUGAAGUUCAAAGGCACAGGAGCUCAGAGGGCUGGAUUUGUUCAGGCAUAUUUGCCUGGUGGAUGCUGUCUGUCAGGACUUGUGACAGUUGGAUAUUUCCAUUACGUUCCCACCGUGUUCGUGCCAUGUUCGCUAUGUUCCCAGCCUACAGUCCAGCACUUUCCCAGCCUCAGGCUGCCAGCCGUUCUUAGCAGUUGGGACUCUCUGAGAGCUUGUCCGUCAACUGGAACCCUCCCCUCCAAUUAGGACUGUAAACACAAGACAAUCUGUGGUGUGUGUCUCUGUGUGCAUGUGUGCAUGUGUGUGUGUGUGUGUGUGUGUGUGUGUGUGUGUGUGUGUGUUCGUAAGGAGGCGUCAAACUGGCUCCUGAAGCUUGGUGAGCUGUCCAGCUAUGAUAAAAAUGACACCCAGGUUCUCAUCAGUGUGAUCUCUCCAUCUCUUUCUCUCCUCUGGAGGGGAAUGGGCCAAGAUAAGCAGACACUGUGGAGUCUACACACACACACACACACACACACACACACACACACACAUACACACACACACACACACACACACACAAACAUUUACACAAACACACACACACAGAGUAUUGUUUGCCAACAGGGAGUCCGAGACUGAGUAUUUGCAGGUUAAUGACAGAGGAGAGAUGAGAAUGUUUAAACAAGUUAUCUUAUUUACCUGAAAUAAUUCUGUCAAACUUAAUUGUCAAUAAACAUUAUUUUAAAUUUAAAUUAACAUCCACAACACUUUAUAAUAAAAUAAAUAGUUUUGAAGUCUUUACAAAACUUUUCUAUAUGCAGUUGGUUUCUCAAAUUGCACCAAAACUUUUAAAUGCAUUAAAAAAACAUUGAAAAUUUUGCCUUUAUCUCAGUGUUUCCUAAACCUAAAACUGGAAUACAAUUGAAUCAGACUUUUUUAUUUAUCCAAACACAUCUUUUCUA